UCAAAAAAUUUGCGACUCCUUCGUAUUUCGCUCUUCUAAUUUACGGCAAUUUUCAAAAUUUUGCCAAAUUUGGUCAAACCAUGGAUUUAAGUGGACGCCUUAAAUGAUAUAGACCAAAUGUAAACUGUUUGAAGCUGGAACUGGACGAGUAAAAAUGCUGAAUUUCGGGAGUGAAAAUGCUGCACCAUCUCAAACUUUUGCCCGUGUGCCGUCCGCCAAACGCGGCACGGCGGCUUGCACUUGGAGACGGCGAGACCGGCAAAUGCGAGCAAAGACUCUGAAUGUUGCUUGGCGGCGAAUGUUGUGCUGAAACUUGCGACAAAUUGUGUGCAAUAAGAGAGACAGUUCUACUCCUAGCAAAAUGAGGAAUAUUGUCGUCCUGCUGGAAUUAUUGUGUCAAGUUCAAGACAUGGUCAAGCCUGACCAGGAGGGGCUCCAGUCUCCAAAACAUCUACAUGUCAACAAGGCUGAGACCCAAUCAUCGAACAGUCUGACCCUACUUUCUCUGUAAACAGCUCCAGUCUCCAAAACAUCUACAUGUCAACAAGGCUGACCCCCCAAUCAUCGGACAGUCUGACCAUAGGAACUACCUUAUCUGUAAACAGCUCCAGUCUCCAAAACAUCUACAUGUCAACAAGGCUGACCCCCCAAUCAUCGGACAGUCUGACCAUAGGAACUACCUUGUCUGUAAACAGCUCCAGUCUCCAAAACAUCUACAUGUCAACAAGGCUGACCCCCCAAUCAUCGGACAGUCUGACCAUAGGAACUACCUUAUCUGUAAACAGCUCCAGUCUCCAAAACCUCUACAUGUCAACAAGGCUGAGACCCAAUCAUUGAACAGUCUGACCAUAGGAACUAUACUUUCUCUGUAAACAGGAGAUUCUCCUCGUCUAUUUUCUUGUACAAAAUGACUUUGUGGGACCUCUAGAUGUUUUGUUUGCCUGCCUGCAGCUCCAGUCUCGUCAUACAGCCUGGCAUCAAGAACAACAUUCUCUGUAAACAGCUCCAGUCUCCAAAAGUUCAACAUGUCAACAUGAAUGUCUGAGACCCACUUAUCAUCAUACAUCUUGGCAUAAAGAACUACCUUCUCUGUAAACAGGUUAAUUGAAACCCUACAAUCCCAAUACUUUCUCCAGUGUCCAAAGUGAAGGAUUAAGGACUUGGGCCAGUAGGGUCUCAUUCCAAUCUUAUAGAGUACAACCAAUUUGUGGAGUGACAUAUAAGAAGAGGAUAUGGAAACGUUGAUGCCACAUGCUGGCAAAAAUUCCUAUGCUCUUUUCCCAACAA